rnacentral:rRNA from 1 species
UGCGUAGGCGGGUUUCUAAGUCAGAGGUGAAAGCCUGGAGCUCAACUCCAGAACUGCCUUUGAUACUGGAAGUCUUGAGUAUGGCAGAGGUGAGUGGAACUGCAAGUGUAGAGGUGAAAUUCGUAGAUAUUCGCAAGAACACCAGUGGCGAAGGCGGCUCACUGGGCCAUUACUGACGCUGAGGCACGAAAGGCGUGGGGAGCAAACA